CCGAGAGCCCUCCGUCCAGCGAUCCAUUAUAUGGAUUGUAGACACAUCGAUUCACUUAUUUUUCAUUCAUUCCAGAUUAAACAACUCUUACCCGCGCCAAGGCUCCAGGACCUGGCCCCCCCAAGUGACUGUAAAACUUCUUUAGACCUCGGGAGGGGGCGGGAAUGGGCGGGGGUGAUACUACCCAGUCUCAACAAACUUCCCUGUAGAGGAAUGGGAGGAGGGCCGAAUGCAAAAGUUGCGCCUCCCGAGAGCCGCACCCCAACGAGGUGGUCAAGUGCCGGCUGUCCCACAGGGCCUGGGUAGUUUCACACCUGCAGACACCAGGGGACGGGGGACCAUCUGAGCCAGAAGACAGAAUGCUGCCUGGAUAAAGACAGCAAGAGAGGGAACACAGGCUGGGGGAGAGGGAGA